GCAGAGCAUCCUACGGGAGGCAGCAGUGGGGAAUAUUGCACAAUGGGCGCAAGCCUGAUGCAGCCAUGCCGCGUGUAUGAAGAAGGCCUUCGGGUUGUAAAGUACUUUCAGCAGUGAGGAAGGUGGAUAUGUUAAUAGCAUAUUCAUUUGACGUUAGCUGCAGAAGAAGCACCGGCUAACUCCGUGCCAGCAGCCGCGGUAAUACGGAGGGUGCGAGCGUUAAUCGGAAUUACUGGGCGUAAAAGCGCAUGCAGGUGGUUUGUUAAGUCAGAUGUGAAAGCCCGGGGCUCAACCUCGGAAUUGCAUUUGAAAACUGGCAAACUAGAGUACUGUAGAGGGGGUAGAAUUUCAGGUGUAGCGGUGAAAUGCGUAGAGAUCUGAAGGAAUACCGGUGGCGAAGGCGGCCCCCUGGACAGAUACUGACACUCAGAUGCGAAAGCGUGGGGAGCAAACAGGAUUAGAUACCCUGGUAG
rnacentral:rRNA from 1 species